GCCGAGCUCGCUCCAGGCCAGGCAGAGCCGGGAGCGCGGGCGGCUGCCGCGGGUGAGGAAGCUGUACCUUGAAGACAAAGUGACAGUAGAGUCUGUUCCUAGUGUCCAGGAGAGAUGGAAAGGAAUAAUGUGGAGAGGAGACACAAGGUGAG
rnacentral:lncRNA from 1 species